rnacentral:rRNA from 1 species
CAGUAGCCGCGGUAAUACGAACCGUGCGAACGUUAUUCGGAAUCACUGGGCUUAAAGCGCGUGUAGGCGGGCCGCCACGUCGGCUGCUGAAAUCCCCCGGCUCAACCGGGGAAGUAGCACCGAUACGAGCGGCCUCGAGGGGGGUAGGGGGCACUGGAACUUCCGGUGGAGCGGUGAAAUGCGUUGAGAUCGGAAGGAACGCCCGUGGCGAAAGCGAGUGCCUGGACCCUUUCUGACGCUGAGACGCGAAAGCCAGGGGAGCGAACGGGAUUAGAUACCCGCGUAGUCCCUGUCUCUUAUA